rnacentral:rRNA from 2 species
AGAGUUUGAUCAUGGCUCAGAUUGAACGCUGGCGGCAGGCCUAACACAUGCAAGUCGAGCGGUAGCACAGAGAGCUUGCUCUCGGGUGACGAGCGGCGGACGGGUGAGUAAUGUCUGGGAAACUGCCUGAUGGAGGGGGAUAACUACUGGAAACGGUAGCUAAUACCGCAUAAUGUCGCAAGACCAAAGUGGGGGACCUUCGGGCCUCAUGCCAUCAGAUGUGCCCAGAUGGGAUUAGCUAGUAGGUGGGGUAACGGCUCACCUAGGCGACGAUCCCUAGCUGGUCUGAGAGGAUGACCAGCCACACUGGAACUGAGACACGGUCCAGACUCCUACGGGAGGCAGCAGUGGGGAAUAUUGCACAAUGGGCGCAAGCCUGAUGCAGCCAUGCCGCGUGUGUGAAGAAGGCCUUCGGGUUGUAAAGCACUUUCAGCGGGGAGGAAGGCGGUGAGGUUAAUAACCUCAUCGAUUGACGUUACCCGCAGAAGAAGCACCGGCUAACUCCGUGCCAGCAGCCGCGGUAAUACGGAGGGUGCAAGCGUUAAUCGGAAUUACUGGGCGUAAAGCGCACGCAGGCGGUCUGUCAAGUCGGAUGUGAAAUCCCCGGGCUCAACCUGGGAACUGCAUUCGAAACUGGCAGGCUAGAGUCUUGUAGAGGGGGGUAGAAUUCCAGGUGUAGCGGUGAAAUGCGUAGAGAUCUGGAGGAAUACCGGUGGCGAAGGCGGCCCCCUGGACAAAGACUGACGCUCAGGUGCGAAAGCGUGGGGAGCAAACAGGAUUAGAUACCCUGGUAGUCCACGCCGUAAACGAUGUCGAUUUGGAGGUUGUGCCCUUGAGGCGUGGCUUCCGGAGCUAACGCGUUAAAUCGACCGCCUGGGGAGUACGGCCGCAAGGUUAAAACUCAAAUGAAUUGACGGGGGCCCGCACAAGCGGUGGAGCAUGUGGUUUAAUUCGAUGCAACGCGAAGAACCUUACCUGGUCUUGACAUCCACAGAACUU